rnacentral:tRNA from 2 species
GCUGGAGUAGCUCAGUUGGUAGAGCAGCCGCCUUGUAAGCGGCAGGUCGCAGGUUCGAAUCCUGUCUCCAGCU